rnacentral:rRNA from 1 species
AACGUAGGACGCAAGCGUUAUCCGGAGUUACUGGGCGCAAAGCGCGGGCAGGCGGCUCGAAACGUCUGAUGUGAAAUCUCCUCGCUCAACGGGGAGAGGCCAUUGGAAACGGUCGAGCUGGAGGGCAGUAGAGGUAGGCGGAAUUCCGGGUGGAGUGGUGAAAUGCGUAGAGAUCCGGAGGAACACCAGAGGCGAAGGCGGCCUACUGGGCUGCACCUGACGCUGAGCCGCGAAAGCCAGGGGAGCGAACGGG